GAAGAUACACACGUGUGUUUGUUGUGUUUCUGCUGCAGAUCUUUGACCUGUUCUCAACAGCUGACGCUCCUCCACACACUCCUCCACAUCCAGGCGGAUUCACAGCUCCAGUAAAGCUCACACACAGGUCAGCAGUCCAACAUCAGUUCCAGCAGGUGUUCAGACAUGGAGAUCUGUGGCUCUGUGGUAAGAGCGCUGCCCCACGGCUUCAGGGGUUGCUGGUAUCGGUCCCAGCCAGAACUCUGCGAUAUGUGUGAAUGGAUCUACUAAACCAGGUCAGAGGUCAUGGAGAGCUCUCGAGUGGAUCUGGAUUCCUGCUGGAUUGGAAACAACUGUUUCCUGAGUUAUUUGUCAUGUUAUGUGUUAAUUCUGUUUAAAGUCAUUUCC